UUCUUGCCAAAAUUACGAAAUUAAACAGAAGAAACAAGUGCUCUCUCUAUCUCUUCGAAUACCCUAACUCCGGGAGCAAAAGAUUUCCGUCACCUAGAAGAUUUCGGGAUUGAAAAUAUAGAUCAAUCGAUAGAGAAGGCAAUUCAGGCAAGUAAUUCCAAAAGGAUCGUCGAUAUUGUCUCCGAGACGGCAAAGCGGUCUAAGGAGUUUGCCGCCGAGGCCAAAGCCGUUGCUGACCACCGCAUUAAGUCCCUUACUGAGCAGAUCCCCUCCAUCACUCUUCUCAAUGCCUCAUCGCCUUUCUCCGAUGAUCCAAUUCCUGUAGAUCUUGAGAUAUUCGGUAUCACCGACGAUCUGAGACAGUUCGCUCGAGGUUUCACGGUCACAGCGUUUCAGAAUUUCCCCAAUUCAUGAUGAUUCUAUAGUUUCUGAUGUGCCAACAGUAUUAAAUGAGAGGCAGAGUGGUAGCAGAAACAUGCAUUGAUCCUUGACAAGGACCUUAAUUUCAAAGGAAUUGAUCAUCUUGGCUAUCUUCGUCAAGCAUUUGAAGUUGGAUCCUUCAAUUAUUUUCUUGAAAGUGAGAUACUAAAGGUUCUGAAGUGAGUUUCUUGGCUAAUACUUGUUACUCUGCUCUGUUUCUUGGGUAUGCUUUGCUCAAGACCACACCUUCAUUAUAUGUUUCUGUCUUGCCAACUAUAUAGCCUUUGUUGGAAGCUUCACAUUUGCUUUAUUCAUUAGUUCCUUUUCUCUUCUGUUUACAUCUGAAUCUUGUUUUCUUCGCCGCAUGCUAUUAGUUUGAUGGGCACUGGUGGCUCACUGUAGGUUAAAAAUUCUGGCUUGGAUAGGCACAUUGAAACUAACUUAUGGGUAAUUAUGGCUGUAACUAUUUGCAGUUUGAUAAAAACAUAUCGUUUAGCCACAAUGGUCCAUUAAUGAUGUCAAUGAGCAUUGGUACACUGGCAAGAAUGUUAAAAUGGGACAGGCUGGCAUGUUAACCAAAUGUGAAGUUUGGCAACAAUUGCAUUAGACUCCACUAUGGGAGCUGUUUAUUGAGUUGUGAAUCACAAACCAUCUGGUUCUUUAGGGUGUAAAUUCUUCUUGUUGCCUGCUUCACUACACUUAAUAAGAAAGGUGAUACUCAUUCAUGCUUAAAUUUAUUGAGGGAUAUAUUGCGUUUUCAUGAUAUUUACUUCUUGACAAAAGCGGUGCAGUUUGAAAAUGAAGGGGACUAAUAAGAGGAACUGCAUAUCUUGCCAAUUUAUCAUUUAUUAUUUUUUUAUAGUAUUUUAGUAUAUAAAUUUGUCUUUUAGUUUAAUUGAUUUUUAAAUUAUUUGAACAUUAUUAAAAAUUUUAAUAUCUA